rnacentral:rRNA from 1 species
AUCAACCUGUGAACGAAAAGGAAAAGAAGGAAGAAGUGUAUCUAUGUAUCUAUUGGUUAGUUCUUAGAAGGCUCUAAUUCCGAAAGGUACACCAGAGGGAAUAGUGUACCUUCCAGGCAGAGAACAUUAUUAUGACCCAGGUUUCCAUCCCUUCGAUGGACGGAGAAGGGGCGGAACUCUUGGAUCGACUUCUAUCCUAGGCUGAUGCUGAUGUUGUCAGACAAUCGAAUAAUAGGUGGCAUUGCCUAAUCGAAUUGAUCAGGUUAUGCGAGAACAAGG